AUCAGGCCGCACCGCCGCCGCGCGGAGUCCGGGCCGCCGCAGCCCGCGGCCCGCGUCCUCCCGGGCCCGCGACGCGGGGAGCGCGGAGCGCGCAACUUACUUUCCGCCUGCGGCGGGCGCUCGGGCCCCGGCGCCCAGCCCGGCAACCGCUGAGGCCACUCGGCGGCGGAGGCUAGCCCGUCCCCCUCCCACGGCCGCCGCUCCCGGCUGCACUGCGCGCUCGCCCCUACCUCAGCAAGCAGGCGGGCUUCCGUCCGCAGCGGCCGCGGCGCCGACAACUCCCUCCCGGCCGCCGAAUCCCCGCACCCAGCACUAAUCAUAAUACCAAGCGGGCAGCCGGCCGCGGGGAGGGGGUGGGGGACCGAGAUGCGCCUGCGCGGGACGCGCGUCAUUGUGACGCGGUCGCCGGGGCGGGGCCGCGGCGAGGGCGGGGCGGGGCGCACCUGCGGGCUCCGGCGCGCGAGCUGCUGCAGGGCAUCCUGGCAGCGCCCCGACCCCGGCGAGUCUGGGCUGCGGCUGGCGGUAGGAAGCGGGCGAGGCGCCCGAGCGAGAGCAAGCUGAUGGAGGAGGAAGCACUAGGGCCACGGGACAAUGGCCCAGAAAACUGUCUCCUGGGCAUCUAUUUUGCAUGUCCGAAGAUGACUGGAAAGCAAGAGUGGAUUGUUGGGAGAGAAAAGGCUGCAGUCCUGGCCACAUGGUGAAUCAUUUAUUCAUCUCCGGUGUUUCUUGGGAAGCUGGAGUGCUGCUGGCAAGAACAUGACCCAUUUUCAGUUCCACACCAUCAAUGUUGUAACAUGAUCUGAUUAUGCUUAGGCAAUAUUUUUAAAUAUUCAAGUAUAAAUAUAUGAUUACUUAACUUUGAAUUUAAGCAAAUGUGUUCAUUGUUAAUGAGAACCCCCUUCUUCAGUCUGCCCUGGGGUUUUCCCCAACCCAGACUGCUUUUUUAAUGUUAGGUCUUUUUAUGGACCUGUAAGAAGCUUUAAUUAGAUAUACAGCACUCCACACAAAUGACAAGAUGGAGCAUGCGGGCUUGGAUUACAUUCUCUGUGAUUCAGAUCUCUGAAAUAACAUAAUGCCACUGAUUUAGGGAAGUUGCUGUUUAUUGGAAGGCAACCAGGGAGAUGCUACAAAUUAGGUUAAGAUGUGAAAAGCAAGCCGAUUCAUGAAAGAACUGCCAUUUUCUUCUUGGGACUAUCCCCCUUAAAGCAGCAUGUAUAACAAGGUUAUAUCGUCUCUAGAUAUUGUUAAUUUUCAUAAUAUAAAAACAUUUCAAAUAUAUUGAAAACAACAGAGACUGAGGAUUCAUGUAUGGUUCAAUUUUGAGUUGUGACAUUUAAUUUUAUGAUUUCCUUUUGCAUAUUUAAUUAGUCAUUUUGUACAUUGAUACUUGUGCAUGUCUGAAUCCUGGCUUCAUUCCAGUAGGACCAAAAUAAUACUUCAAUGGAAUGGCCUGAAGAGUUUCUCAAAGAGUUUCCCUCACUACCCACUUGGCAUCCGUUAGCAUCCCUAAUUCUUUUAGCUCAGAUGUUUGUUAAGGCCUGUGCAUAUGUGUACAUGCGUGUGUGUGUAUGUGCAUGUGUAAUAUAUUCUUGACAGGUGUAAGGAAGGACUGAAAAUGCCAGCCCUUAACUCUGCUUCUUUGCAACCUGUGAACUGGGAAACGGCAGACACUGCCUGGUAUUGACCACCUGCCCCACCACCAAGAGUUAUAUGCCCUUGUGGGCAGACUGCUUAACUUUCCAUCUGUUUCCUCUGUAAAAUGGGAAAGAUGGUGAUGAUAAUGAUACCUUUCUUAUAAGGUGUGUGUAAGCCAGCUGUUCUCCAAGUGUGCCUCCUGGACCAGCAGCAGCAGGUUCUCCUGGGAACUAGACUGAAAUGCAAAUUCUCCAGCUCUACUCCAGACCUCCUAAAUUUAAAACUCGGUGGUUCCUCUGCUUUAAGAAGACUUCCAAGUGAAUCUGACAUAGGUGAGAGUCUGAGAACCACUAUAGAUGGGAUUAACGGGGUUUAUGCAUGUUAGUUGCCCAGUCAUGUCCAACUCUUUGAGAUACCAUAGAUUGUAGCCCACCAGGCUCCUCUCUCCACGGAAUUCUCCAGGCAAGAACACUGGAGGAUCUUCCCAACCCAGGGAUCAAACCCAGGUCUCCUGCAUUGCAGGCAGAUUCUUUUCCUGUCUGAGCCACCAGGGAAGUAUUAAAAUAGUGCUGGCACAUGGUAAGUAGUAUAUUAGUGGAUUUUUUUUUAAUCAGUGCAAUAUGAUGUUGCCAAGAUACAGUUUAAUU
ensembl:lncRNA